GGAAGGGGAUGAGCAAACGCCCUCCGUGAAAGGCUAUUGGGUGGAGCUGCUUUAUAGAAGGGGUGGAGUUCUCCCAGGUGGGUGCAGGUGCGCUGCUCAGAUAUCAGCUCUGGCUCAGCGUCUCUGCAGACCCCUCCCGCCAUCUUGACUUGAGUUCAGUCUCAGAACUGAAGUCCUGAGCCCAGGAGCUCUGGUCUCAAGGGUCUGGUGUGAGGCUUCUACACGCUGCCCUGGGACCAAGUGAAACCAGAGGAAGCACGAAGGACAACAGAAAGAGCCAAGUGUCUGAAAAGUUACCUGUGCUUGCUGUCUCCAAACUUCUCAACCACAUUAUGCAUCUCAACCCACUUAGAAUGAUAUCUGCUUCAACUCUCAAUCUGCAGGAGGAGCCCAGGUCCCUUCAGUCACAGAAGUUAAUCGGGAGCAGGAGCAAAGAGCAGAAUCUGUCCUACACAGUGCAGGCUCUGUGAAGAUAGAAGUUGAACAGGAGAGCACAAAGACCUUCUUUUCCCAGAUCAUCGAAAAUGACUGGAAAAGUUUACUGAGGAAAAAAGCAGACACAGACAGCAGUGAAGAGAAAGAAACUAAAGCUCUGGAAUACCUACCUUCUGCCAAGCACUUAAAAAUAAAAUCUAGCCAACACAUUUCAUUAAGAAUUCUGUAAGGUAGGUUUUAUUGUUCUCAAUUUACAGAUGUGAAAGUGAAACUCAGAGAUGUUAAGUAAUUUGCCCAAGGCCCAUAGUCUGUCUAUUUGGAUCAAGUUCUAGUGAGUAUUCCAUUUCACCUCUUUGCUUCUGGGCAUGAUAAGUACCUGCAAAUCAAUGAGAGGUAGUCGUGAUGAAAAGAGAAGUUUGACUGAUCUUUUGGCCCUAAGUCAUAAAAACAGAAGCAUUUAUGUUUCAACUUGUUGAGAAACUUUUCUGCUAACUAUAAGGAUGAAUCAUUUCAUAGAAGAAUCAAAAAAGAGUAAGAUACUUUGGGAGGAGAGUAUAAACCACUAACUUGUCAGUUGGUGACAGGGUAUCUUCUGACAAUGAUUCAGCAGAGAAUAUAUGGGACAAUAAAUGGGAAAUAAUUUUUGAACUUCUACCUGAUCUAGUGAUUUUAUUUCUAAGAAGGGCUACUUUUUCCAGAAAUAUUUGUUAACUCCUCCCAUAUGUAAUAACCUCUUUUCUUCCUGAGUUCUUCAAGCAGAUGCAGGAAUUACAUUUAAGAAAUGGAGAUGGAAGUCCAGAUCCAUGUUAGUGUCUGAACAUAAAAAGAAUUGAAGAAUGAAGGAGUGGUAUUAUUUCUGAUAGACAAUUGCUCUCAAAGUGUAAAACCAACCGACAGUGAUGAACUAUGUUGUGUAUUACUAUUGGUUUCAAAUUUGUUAAACUUCCUAUUUUAAAUAGCUAUGCUCUUACUACUAGCUAUAAUUAACAUACCAUACAAUCCCCCCUUUUAAGGAUAAAUUCAAUGUGUUUUAGUAUAUUCACAGAAUUGUUCAUGCAUCAUCACAGCCAAUUUUUAUUUGUAUUACCAUAGAAACCCUGUAGCCCUUAGCUCUCACCCACCAAUCCCUUCACUUUUGCGGUCCUGGGAGAAUGCUUAUCUACUUUCCGCCUCUGAAGAUUUGCCUAUUUUGGAACACUUCAUGGAAAUAGAAUCAUAAAUAUGUAGUUCUUUGUGACUUCUUUCACUUAGUGUAAUGUUUCCGGGUUUAUCCAUGUUAUAGCAUGUAUCAGUAC